rnacentral:ncRNA from 2 species
GAUAAGCAUGAAACCGACGGUGCCCCGGCAACGGGGUGAAAAGGGAAUGCGGUGAGACACCGCGGCUGCCCCCGCAACUGUAAGCGGCGAGCCUACGCUCCAAAUGCCACUGGGAUCCAACCCCGGGAAGGCGGCAGCGAAAAGCAUCGACCCGCGAGCCAGGAGACCUGCCGUCAGCCUUUGCUUCUA